rnacentral:rRNA from 1 species
GAGCCUGAAUCAGUGUGUGUGUUAGUGGAAGCGUCUGGAAAGGCGCGCGAUACAGGGUGACAGCCCCGUACACAAAAAUGCACAUACUGUGAGCUCGAUGAGUAGGGCGGGACACGUGGUAUCCUGUCUGAAUAUGGGGGGACCAUCCUCCAAGGCUAAAUACUCCUGACUGACCGAUAGUGAACCAGUACCGUGAGGGAAAGGCGAAAAGAACCCCGGCGAGGGGAGUGAAAAAGAACCUGAAACCGUGUACGUACAAGCAGUGGGAGCCUCUUUUAUGGGGUGACUGCGUACCUUUUGUAUAAUGGGUCAGCGACUUAUAUUCUGUAGCAAGGUUAACCGAAUAGGGGAGCCGAAGGGAAACCGAGUCUUAACUGGGCGUUAAGUUGCAGGGUAUAGACCCGAAACCCGGUGAUCUAGCCAUGGGCAGGUUGAAGGUUGGGUAACACUAACUGGAGGACCGAACCGACUAAUGUUGAAAAAUUAGCGGAUGACUUGUGGCUGGGGGUGAAAGGCCAAUCAAACCGGGAGAUAGCUGGUUCUCCCCGAAAGCUAUUUAGGUAGCGCCUCGUGAAUUCAUCUCCGGGGGUAGAGCACUGUUUCGGCAAGGGGGUCAUCCCGACUUACCAACCCGAUGCAAACUGCGAAUACCGGAGAAUGUUAUCACGGGAGACACACGGCGGGUGCUAACGUCCGUCGUGAAGAGGGAAACAACCCAGACCGCCAGCUAAGGUCCCAAAGUCAUGGUUAAGUGGGAAACGAUGUGGGAAGGCCCAGACAGCCAGGAUGUUGGCUUAGAAGCAGCCAUCAUUUAAAGAAAGCGUAAUAGCUCACUGGUCGAGUCGGCCUGCGCGGAAGAUGUAACGGGGCUAAACCAUGCACCGAAGCUGCGGCAGCGACGCUUAUGCGUUGUUGGGUAGGGGAGCGUUCUGUAAGCCUGUGAAGGUGUACUGUGAGGUAUGCUGGAGGUAUCAGAAGUGCGAAUGCUGACAUAAGUAACGAUAAAGCGGGUGAAAAGCCCGCUCGCCGGAAGACCAAGGGUUCCUGUCCAACGUUAAUCGGGGCAGGGUGAGUCGACCCCUAAGGCGAGGCCGAAAGGCGUAGUCGAUGGGAAACAGGUUAAUAUUCCUGUACUUGGUGUUACUGCGAAGGGGGGACGGAGAAGGCUAUGUUGGCCGGGCGACGGUUGUCCCGGUUUAAGCGUGUAGGCUGGUUUUCCAGGCAAAUCCGGAAAAUCAAGGCUGAGGCGUGAUGACGAGGCACUACGGUGCUGAAGCAACAAAUGCCCUGCUUCCAGGAAAAGCCUCUAAGCAUCAGGUAACAUCAAAUCGUACCCCAAACCGACACAGGUGGUCAGGUAGAGAAUACCAAGGCGCUUGAGAGAACUCGGGUGAAGGAACUAGGCAAAAUGGUGCCGUAACUUCGGGAGAAGGCACGCUGAUAUGUAGGUGAAGCGACUUGCUCGUGGAGCUGAAAUCAGUCGAAGAUACCAGCUGGCUGCAACUGUUUAUUAAAAACACAGCACUGUGCAAACACGAAAGUGGACGUAUACGGUGUGACGCCUGCCCGGUGCCGGAAGGUUAAUUGAUGGGGUUAGCGGUAACGCGAAGCUCUUGAUCGAAGCCCCGGUAAACGGCGGCCGUAACUAUAACGGUCCUAAGGUAGCGAAAUUCCUUGUCGGGUAAGUUCCGACCUGCACGAAUGGCGUAAUGAUGGCCAGGCUGUCUCCACCCGAGACUCAGUGAAAUUGAACUCGCUGUGAAGAUGCAGUGUACCCGCGGCAAGACGGAAAGACCCCGUGAACCUUUACUAUAGCUUGACACUGAACAUUGAGCCUUGAUGUGUAGGAUAGGUGGGAGGCUUUGAAGUGUGG